UUUAUAUAACAACGGAGUGAGCCAAAAACGGCUCAGCAAGUGACAAAGCAUAUUCAGAACAAAAGGAACGGUUUCAAACGAGUAAGGUAUCAUAAUGCAAGGCAGAAUACAAGAAUUCUCAAGGAUACCAUCUCAAUAGAUACCAAAUCAUACGUAUCAUGUCAUUCAAAACAUAUUUGAUCCAUAAGGAAUGGGGCAUAGAGUAAUUGGAACAUAUCAAUGGCAGAUAGGACAUUUCAGAAACAUAUCAGUUCAUAGCAAAUGGAGCACAGAGUAAUUGGAACAAAUCAAUGGCAGAUAGGACAUUUCAGAACAUAUCAGUUCAUAGCAAAUGGAGCACAAAGUGAUUGGAGCAUAUCAAUGGCAGAUAGGACAUUUCAGAACAUAUCAGUUCAUAGCAAAUGGAGCACAGAGUAAUUGGAGCAUAUCAAUGGCAUAUGAAAUGUUCCGGAGCAUAUCAACGGCAUAUGGAACAUUACGAAGCAAACUCAACAGUGAAGGAAGCAUUUCAGAGCAUAUCAAACUCAUAUGUCGUACAGAAGCUCAAACGUCGUCUUUGACGUUGCAAACAUAUCAAUCUUAUCCAAAGCAUGUACAGAAACACAUAACCAAAGCUCUGGAUAUCAUAUCAAACAUACAGAAGGUGUAGUGGGAUCUCAGUCAGAAUGUGAUUCAUCCAUUUCUGAAUGACCACCUGACAAAAGUCUCCCACGUCUGGGAGCUCCAUCCACCCACGUCUAGGUGAAGUCAGAGGGGGCCGGCAGAGCAUCGCAGGCUCUAUGCAUAACUCCCUUUACCAUUUCUGGCAAAGGUUCACAACUCCCUUUACCAUUUCUGGCAAAGGUUCACAACUCCCUUUACCAUUUCUGGCAAAGGUUCACAAUAUCCCACACACCAGAGUACAAGAAGGCAGUUUCAACAAUAAGCAGCAUAUAACGGAAGCACACGCGGAACAACCAAACGUACAUGUGCCUUUUCAAAACAAUGAUGCAAGGAACAAAUCUCUCACAAAAGUAUUCAUUUUAGGAAAGAAUUGAAAGCAAGAGUGUACAGGGAUUCCAAGCAAUCAUAAUCAGCUCAAUUCCAAUAAGAAGGUUAGACAAAUUCAGAUAUCCAAAGGAAUGGAACUGGAAUAGGCACAUAUCAAAAGCAAAUGCGGAACAAUAGGAUAUACAUGUGCCUAUAUGAGUCAAUACGAUAUAGCAUAAACGUUACACAACAGUUUUCAAGAAUGCAAUAAUUUUAAGGACAAGAGCAUACAAGAAUUCAAAGCAGUAAUAUAAAGCUCAAUUGAAUGAGAAAGCUAAAGGAUAUCAAUUUCCAAAGGAAUGAAACCAGAGUAUGAGAAAUCGACCAAAGCUCGAUUUCUGGCAGAAUACAGAAGGCACAUUGAACAAAUGAUUUCAAACUAUCAAUCGUGCUCCAAUUUACUCAGAAAUAAUCAUUGGAUAAUACUUUCAGAUAAGAUAGGCUUCAUAUGAAUUGAACUGUCCAACAGAGAGAGUUACAAAUAAUUUGGUAAGCAAGUGUCGUAUAACAAAAUCUCUGUUGGCAGAAUUCAUAAUGUCAGAUUCAACAGAUAACUGGACAGGUGUUUGGAUUCCAAAUCUUUCAAUCCAUAUAUCAAGGAAAGGUCUACGAGUCUAGUUUCCAAUGAAAUCAGUUUUGAACAAAUCAGAGUUUCCACAAAGACUUAUAGGCAGCUCGGUAUCAAAAGGUCAGAAUCUCAGAAGUUGCACAGAUUCGAAUCGUUACGUCUAAACAGGAGAUAUAACAAAUGCAAGGCUAGAAUGAUUCAAAGUUCCUCAUAUUCAAAGCAAAUGUAGAGAUAAAAAUGGCAGUGAGAAACAAAUCAGGAUACUUGCAAGAGAAAAGAUUAGAAAGCUUGCAAUAGAAAAGGUUAGAACACUUGCAAUAAGACAUAUCAGAGCAAUUAUAGGAGAAACGAUCAGGGAACUUGCAAUAGAAAGGAUCGAAACAAGCGGGAAACUUGCCUUUCAAAUAUUUUGAUCUGAAUAUCCAAGGAAGGUGCCAAUCCAAUCUUUCUACUUUUCCUCCGUGUCCUCUCUCUGUUUCGUUUUGUGCUCCCGUUUUCUUCCUUUCUUCGUAACUACAUCACGUGUCGAACAUCGAGGCACAGUCACCUGCUCUCUCUUACUCUCAUUCCUUCUUUUUCUUUCCCAAACACAGCUGCCACAGCCGCCGUCGCUGCCGCUGCCACAAUCGCAGCCACGACCGCAACUGCGAUCACAACCGCAGCCCCUUCCACUGCACUAUUUCCUUCUUCCCUUCUCUCGUUCCUACUCUUUCUCUUUCCCAAAAGCAGCUACUGCAGCUACUGCAGCCACCACCGCUGCCGCAGCUACCGCAGCCAACGUCGCAGCCGCAGCCGGAGUCGCAGCCACGGCCGCAGCCACCACACUCGCAGCCUCUUCUUCCUCCCCUGCUCAUCUUCCUCUCCUUCUUUUCUUCCAACUGCAGCUGCCAUCGCCGCAGCCGUAGCCCCUUCUCUUCUUCCUCUCCUUCCCUUCUUCCUUUCUCUUCUUCUUCCUUUCCUUCUCUUCUUUCCCAGCUGCAUGCUGCAGUCGCAGCCUCAGCCACGGCCACAGCCUUUUCUUCCUCCCCUGCUCAUCUUCCUCUCCUUCUUCU